rnacentral:rRNA from 1 species
UACGUAGGGGGCAAGCGUUGUCCGGAAUCAUUGGGCGUAAAGAGCGUGUAGGCGGCCCGGUAAGUCCGCUGUGAAAGUCGGGGGCUCAACCCUCGAAUGCCGGUGGAUACUGUCGGGCUAGAGUGCGGAAGAGGCGAGUGGAAUUCCUGGUGUAGCGGUGAAAUGCGCAGAUAUCAGGAGGAACACCAAUUGCGAAGGCAGCUCGCUGGGACGUAACUGACGCUGAGACGCGAAAGCGUGGGAAGCAAACAGG